rnacentral:rRNA from 1 species
CACGGGGGGGAGCGAACGUUGUUCGGAAUCACUGGGCGUAAAGGGCGUGUAGGCGGUUCGGUAAGUGGAAUGUGAAAUCCCCCGGCUUACCCGGGGAACUGCAUCCCAUACUGCUGGACUUGAGUGCGGGAGAGGAUGGAGGAAUUCCUGGUGUAGCGGUGAAAUGCGUUGAUAUCCUAAGGAACACCGGUGGCGAAAGCGGCUCACUGGAGUCUCUUCUGACGCUGAUGCACGAAAGCUAGGGUAGCGAACGGG